rnacentral:rRNA from 1 species
UAGCUCAGGAUGAACGCUGGCGGCGUGCUUAACACAUGCAAGUCGAACGAUGAUCCCCAGCUUGCUGGGGGGAUUAGUGGCGAACGGGUGAGUAACACGUGAGUAACCUGCCCUUAACUCUGGGAUAAGCCUGGGAAACUGGGUCUAAUACCGGAUAUGACUCCUCAUCGCAUGGUGGGGGGUGGAAAGCUUUUGUGGUUUUGGAUGGACUCGCGGCCUAUCAGCUUGUUGGUGAGGUAAUGGCUCACCAAGGCGACGACGGGUAGCCGGCCUGAGAGGGUGACCGGCCACACUGGGACUGAGACACGGCCCAGACUCCUACGGGAGGCAGCAGUGGGGAAUAUUGCACAAUGGGCGCAAGCCUGAUGCAGCGACGCCGCGUGAGGGAUGACGGCCUUCGGGUUGUAAACCUCUUUCAGUAGGGAAGAAGCGAAAGUGACGGUACCUGCAGAAGAAGCGCCGGCUAACUACGUGCCAGCAGCCGCGGUAAUACGUAGGGCGCAAGCGUUAUCCGGAAUUAUUGGGCGUAAAGAGCUCGUAGGCGGUUUGUCGCGUCUGCCGUGAAAGUCCGGGGCUCAACUCCGGAUCUGCGGUGGGUACGGGCAGACUAGAGUGAUGUAGGGGAGACUGGAAUUCCUGGUGUAGCGGUGAAAUGCGCAGAUAUCAGGAGGAACACCGAUGGCGAAGGCAGGUCUCUGGGCAUUAACUGACGCUGAGGAGCGAAAGCAUGGGGAGCGAACAGGAUUAGAUACCCUGGUAGUCCAUGCCGUAAACGUUGGGCAMUAGGUGUGGGGGACAUUCCACGUUUUCCGCGCCGUAGCUAACGCAUUAAGUG